GUGCUUUGUGGGUGCCAUAGGUUCGUUAAUCAUCGCAUCAAUUCUCGAUAAAACGAAGAAAUUCAGAAUGAUCGCCAUCACCGUGAGCAGUUCGUCCUUAUUUUGCGAAAUACUUUUCGCUACGACCUUGAAUAUGGAAAUUAAAUGGACGGUUUUUCUGUCAUAUUCGCUUUUCGGCAUUACUCUGCUCAGUUUCAGCGCGAUUGGAUUUGAAUUAUGCGCCGAAGCGACUUACCCCGA